GAGUUUGAUCAUGGCUCAGACUGGCGGCAGGCCUAACACAUGCAAGUCGAGCGGAUGAAGGGAGCUUGCUCCUGGAUUCAGCGGCGGACGGGUGAGUAAUGCCUAGGAAUCUGCCUGGUAGUGGGGGAUAACGUCCGGAAACGGGCGCUAAUACCGCAUACGUCCUGAGGGAGAAAGUACGGGGGAUCUUCGGACCUCACGCUAUCAGAUGAGCCUAGGUCGGAUUAGCUAGUUGGUGGGGUAAAGGACCAAGGCGACGAUCCGUAACUGGUCUGAGAGGAUGAUCAGUCACACUGGAACUGAGACACGGUCCAGACUCCUACGGGAGUUGCAGCAGUGGGGAAUAUUGGACAAUGGGCGAAAGCCUGAUCCAGCCAUGCCGCGUGUGUGAAGAAGGUCUUCGGAUUGUAAAGCACUUUAAGUUGGGAGGAAGGGCAGUAAGUUAAUACCUUGCUGUUUUGACGUUACCAACAGAAGCACCGGCUAACUUCGUGCCAGCAGCCGCGGUAAUACGAAGGGUGCAAGCGUUAAUCGGAAUUACUGGGCGUAAAGCCACGCGCGUAGGUGGUUCAGCAAGUUGGAUGUGAAAUCCCCGGGCUCAACCUGGGAACUGCAUCCAAAACUACUGAGCUAGAGUACGGUAGAGGGUGGUGGAAUUUCCUGUGUAGCGGUGAAAUGCGUAGAUAUAGGAAGGAACACCAGCGAAGGCGACCACCUGGACUGAUACUGACACUGAGGUGCGAAAGCGUGGGGAGCAAACAGGAUUAGAUACCCUGGUUGUAGUCCACGCCGUAAACGAUGUCGACUAGCCGUUGGGAUCCUUGAGAUCUUAGUGGCGCAGCUAACGCGAUAAGUCGACCGCCUGGGGAGUACGGCCGCAAGGUUAAAACUCAAAUGAAUUGACGGGGGCCCGCACAAGCGGUGGAGCAUGUUUAAUUCGAAGCAACGCGAAGAACCUUACCUGGCCUUGACAUGCUGAGAACUUUCCAGAGAUGGAUUGGUGCCUUCGGGAACUCAGACACAGGUGCUGCAUGGCUGUCGCAGCCGUGUCGUGAGAUGUUGGGUUAAGUCCCGUAACGAGCGCAACCCUUGUCCUUAGUUACCAGCACCUCGGGUGGGCACUCUAAGGAGACUGCCGGUGACAAACCGGACCUGAGGAAUGGGGAUGACGUCAAGUCAUCAUGGCCCUUACGGCCAGGGCUACACACGUGCUACAAUGGUCGGUNNACAAAGGGUUGCCAAGCCGCGAGGUGGAGCUAAUCCCAUAAAACCGAUCGUAGUCCGGAUCGCAGUCUGCAACUCGACUGCGUGAUCGGAAUCGCUAGUAAUCGUGAAUCAGAAUGUCACGGUGAAUACGUUCCCGGGCCUUGUACACACCGCCCGUCACACCAUGGGAGUGGGUUGCUCCAGAAGUAGCUAGUCUAACCGCAAGGGGGACGGUUACCACGGAGUGAUUCAUGACGGGUGAAGUCGUAACAG
rnacentral:rRNA from 1 species